rnacentral:rRNA from 1 species
CCCGAAGUAUCCUGAAUCUUUCGCAUUGUUAAUCAUACAAGUGCAUAUAAUAAACAUAAAAAUCAAUGAUAAUUAUGCCAUUAUAUAAUUCCGAAAAAUUAACGCACUGUAAUCAUAUAAAUCUAUCAGCACUUUAUCAAAUUAAUAACAUUUAUUCUGUUUUAAAAUGCAAGCACUUUAAUUUGAAUAAACUAUAAGUUAUAUUUUAUGAUAAAUUUGGGAUAUGCUAAUAGAUUACAAUGUCCUUAUAUGGAAAAAAUGCACACUAUCCUUAUAAUAUUAUUUAAAUAUUACAAUUUUAAUGAUGAAUUUUCCAUAACGGAUAUUCAGGUUCAUCGGGC